GGACCUGAAGGCGAUCUGGCUGUGACAUCUGUCACCUCACUGAUGGCCAGGGUUGAUUAGGCAGAUCUGGCUGGCUGGCGGGUGUCCCCUUCCUCCUUCAACACCCCACAAGGCUAGCCAAGUAGCUGUGCUCCCUUGCUAGAACCUCCAAAAAAGCUCUCCAAUAUACCAGAGGCAAAUUUCAGAAACUGUAUUAGAAAUUCAGGCAAGCCUCAACCCACUCACUUAAAAAUUAGUUGCUGCCCCCAAAACACACAUAUACAAACUUU
rnacentral:snRNA from 1 species